rnacentral:tRNA from 1 species
UGGGGGAUGGUGUAAUGGUAGCACAAAAGCCUCUGGAGCUUUUUGUCUAGGUUCGAAUCCUAGUCCCCCAG